CCCCAGGACAGAGCACCUGCCGAAGAACGAGGUUUUAGCUUGGCCUUCUCCGAAGCAGAGCCUGAGGCUCCAUAGCCAGCACGGAACCCAAUGCUAGGCUCAGCUCAGGGCUCAAACUCACGACCCUGAGAUCAAGACCUGAGCUGAAGUCAAGAGUUGGAUGCUUAACCGACUGAGCAACCUAGGAGCCCCCAGUGCAAUGAAUUUUCGUAAAAUGAAUGUUCCUGUGUUACCAGCACCAGAUCAAGAAUUCCCAGCCCCCAGAGACCCCCUCUAUCAUAUUUACUUCCAGCCACUACCCCCUUGCCUAAGGAUAACCGUUAUCCCAAUUUCUAUUGUCAUAGAAUAUUUUUUACUGUCCUAGAAUCUCAUAUAAAUGGAAUCAGAAAAUA